rnacentral:rRNA from 1 species
AUUGAACGCUGGCGGCAUGCUUUACACAUGCAAGUCGAACGGUAACACGCCUUCGGGUGCUGACGAGUGGCGAACGGGUGAGUAAUGCAUAGGAACGUACCCAGUGGUGGGGGAUAACGCAGCGCAAGCUGUGCUAAUACCGCAUGUGAUCUGAGGAUGAAAGCGGGGGACCGAGCAGCAAUGUUUGGCCUCGCGCCUUUCGAGCGGCCGAUGUCGGAUUAGCUAGUUGGUGGGGUAAAGGCCUACCAAGGCGACGAUCCGUAGCUGGUCUGAGAGGACGACCAGCCACACUGGGACUGAGACACGGCCCAGACUCCUACGGGAGGCAGCAGUGGGGAAUUUUGGACAAUGGGCGCAAGCCUGAUCCAGCAAUGCCGCGUGCGGGAAGAAGGCCUUCGGGUUGUAAACCGCUUUUGGCAGGAACGAAACGGUGUCCGCUAAUACCGGGCGAUAAUGACGGUACCUGCAGAAUAAGCACCGGCUAACUACGUG